rnacentral:rRNA from 1 species
AGUGAACGCUGGCGGUAGGCCUAACACAUGCAAGUCGAACGGCAGCACAGUAAGAGCUUGCUCUUACGGGUGGCGAGUGGCGGACGGGUGAGGAAUACAUCGGAAUCUACUUUUUCGUGGGGGAUAACGUAGGGAAACUUACGCUAAUACCGCAUACGACCUACGGGUGAAAGCAGGGGCUCUUCGGACCUUGCGCGAUUGAAUGAGCCGAUGUCGGAUUAGCUAGUUGGCGGGGUAAAGGCCCACCAAGGCGACGAUCCGUAGCUGGUCUGAGAGGAUGAUCAGCCACACUGGAACUGAGACACGGUCCAGACUCCUACGGGAGGCAGCAGUGGGGAAUAUUGGACGAUGGGCGCAAGCCUGAUCCAGCCAUACCGCGUGGGUGAAGAAGGCCUUCGGGUUGUAAAGCCCUGUUGUUGGGAAAGAAAAGCAGCAGGUUAAUACCCCGCUGUUCUGACGGUACCCAAAGAAUAAGCACCGGCUAACUUCGUG